rnacentral:rRNA from 1 species
UGGAUGGACCCGCGUCCCAUUAGUUAGUUGGUGAGGUGAAGGCUUACCAAGACGAUGAUGCGUAGCCGGCCUGAGAGGGUGACCGGCCACACUGGAACUGAGAUACGGUCCAGACUCCUACGGGAGGCAGCAGUGGGGAAUCUUCCGCAAUGGGCGAAAGCCUGACGGAGCAACGCCGCGUGAGCGAAGAAGGUCUUCGGAUUGUAAAGCUCUGUGAUAUUGAGCGUACAUGACGGUAGCCAAGGAGGAAGCCCCGGCUAACUACGUGCCAGCAGCCGCGGUAAUACGUAGGGGGCGAGCGUUGUCCGGAUUUACUGGGCGUAAAGGGUGAGUAGGCGGUAAUAUGUGUCAGAUGUAAAAGGCUAUGGCUUAACCAUAGUUGGCAUUUGAAACUGUAUUACUUGAGUGCAGGAGAGGUAAGUGGAAUUCCUAGUGUAGCGGUGAAAUGCGUAGAUAUUAGGAGGAACACCAGUGGCGAAGGCGACUUACUGGACUGUAACUGACGCUGAGUCACGAAAGCGUGGGUAGCAAACAGGAUUAGAUACCCUGGUAGUCCACGCUGUAAACGAUGAGUGCUAGGUGUUGGGUAGCGAUAUUCAGUGCCGAAGUUAACACAAUAAGCACUCCGCCUGGGGAGUACGGUCGCAAGACUGAAACUCAAAGGAAUUGACGGGGACCCGCACAAGCAGCGGAGCAUGUGGUUUAAUUCGAAGCAACGCGAAGAACCUUACCAGGUCUUGACAUCCAGUAAAGCCUGAGAGAUGUGUCCUCCCCUUCGGGGGCAAGGGAGACAGGUGGUGCAUGGUUGUCGUCAGCUCGUGUCGUGAGAUGUUGGGUUAAGUCCCGCAACGAGCGCAACCCUUAUCCUUAGUUGCCAGCAGUUAAGUUGGGCACUCUAAGGAGACUGCCGAUGAUAAAUCGGAGGAAGGUGGGGAUGACGUCAAAUCAUCAUGCCCCUUAUAUCUUGGGCUACACACGUGCUACAAUGGUCGGUACAAAGGGCAGCGAAGGAGUGAUCUGGAGCAAAUCCCAAUAAACCGAUCCCAGUUCGGAUUGUAGGCUGCAACUCGCCUACAUGAAGUCGGAGUUGCUAGUAAUCGCGAAUCAGAACGUCGCGGUGAAUGCGUUCCCGGGUCUUGUACACACCGCCCGUCACACCAUGGAAGUUGGUAAUACCCAAAGUCGCUGAGCUAACCGUAAGGGGGCAGGCGCCUAAGGUAGGAUCAAUGACUGGGGUGAAGUCGUAACAAGGUAACCA